GACUGCUGCAGCAGGUGCGGCCCCUGUCCCCCAUGGGUGUGCUUUUCAUUGGUGUGGACUUCACAGGCAUGCUUCACAUUUGUUUGCCUUUCCCUGAUGUGGAGUUUACAUGUGUUCUUUUUCUUUCAUUAGCACCAAGGUCCAUGCAGCCUUCUGUCUCAGCAUAUGUGCCACUUUGAUGAGGAGCUCUUUAUUUUACAGGGAUAUAUGGUCUUACU